rnacentral:lncRNA from 1 species
UGACAAAUAGCACAUAAGUCACAUCUGCUGGAGUAGGAUUGAAGGUGCCGGAAGCUCCAGAGCACGUGUCAGGGAUGGAUGGUGAAGUUCUUAGCAACUCUGCACACCUUGCCUCAUCUGCCAAAGGAAGAGAGUUAAACCCAGUGAUCUCUGCACACCCUCCAAGCUCCAACCUCAGAUGAACAUAAUAACAAGAGUGGAUGAGAAUCACAGCCAUGUUUAUUGAGGCCCCAAAAGAACCCCCGGAUGAUCACAUUUAGCCCCGCGGCUCUAUGCUGUCCCAGCAGGUAGUAAUAAUUCCAGAUAGUCGGCAGCCAGUGUAAGGUUGCCGAAAUUGCUCUGUGAGUGAAAGUAGCUCCUUUCAGGAAUCUAAAAUGCCUAUCCUGUGAAGAAUGAAGAUAUACCUUCAGUCUUUCAUUGUCUAACUUAGGCUCCUGCUCGAUGACUAUGGCCUAGACUGAUAUAGGCAGCAUGUUCUCCGCAGAUUGUUCCCUCUCUGGUGAGGUGAGACGGACUGCACAUUCAGACAUAGCAUGUGCAUCUGAACCCAUAGCAGAGUCCUGAAGGGAAAAUACAAUUACUUUGUGUGUCAAGGCAACAAUGUGUUGGAACUACUAAAGGAAUUAUAAUUAUGCUUGCUUGUUUCCCCAGAAUCAAACAGAAAGUGAAGGCAGCUUUGUUUAUUUAUUCAGACACACCCAAUGAGGUACUGAAAAUGCUUUCUGAAGCUGUAGGAGGAAUAAAAGCCCUGACCAUAGUGCUUGUGGAUGUGCUGAGGUGUGUUGUGCCUGCCGCUCCCCGACCUGGACCAGCUUCAAGCUACAGGUGUGCUGGCCUUGAACGUGCUGCUGGAAGAUGUGAGGGAUGA